rnacentral:misc_RNA from 1 species
UGUGGGAGCGAGCUGGCUCGCGAUUACGGUUCUACAUUCAACAUUCGUGUCGACUGUGGAAUCGCAAUCGCGAGCCAGCUCGCUCCCACA